rnacentral:rRNA from 1 species
ACACGACUACAUUAGAUACCCCGGUAGUCCUAGCCGUAAACGAUACUCGCUAGGUGUCGGCCACGGUGCGACUGUUGUCGGUGCCGUAGGGAAGCCGUGAAGCGAGCCACCUGGGAAGUACGGCCGCAAGGCUGAAACUUAAAGGAAUUGGCGGGGGAGCACAACAACGGGUGGAGCUUGCGGUUUAAUUGGAUUCAACGCCGGAAAUCUUACCGGGACCGACAGCAACAUGAAGGCCAAGCUGAAGACUUUGCCGGAUUAGCUG